GCAUGCACGCAUAUUGGUCAUGUGCACACUGCACAGUCAUAUAUGUGCUGCUAACUCCGAUUUUAUGGAAGCUUAAAGAUGGCAAUCCAGUUGUACAACAGGAAAAGGGAAUCUCUUACUCUUAUGAUCCAUGGCGAAGAAUGACAUUGACACAGUGAAAUUCAACAUAAAAGAAAUUAUUGAUGGAAAAAAUAUCAGACCAUUGUUGAUCAGAACAUCAUGAUCAUCACUAACCUACAUUUCUCUCUGUAUUCACCGGGUGUACACAGGCAAGAUGUCAGUGCAGCCUUUUCAAUUAGCCUUCCCCACAGGCUCAGAGAAACAUGCAAAAGAACAGAGUGGGGGGCGCACAGCGGUAAGGUUACAGAAAAACAAAAAAACAAAAGGCCCAUCUGGAGAGAGAAUGGUACGCAGGCAGCAAGGCGUCCCAUAAGAACAGCAUUAUGUGGGGAAUGCCAGGCGAGAGUUAAGUGAAUGACCAUGGUUUCUUGUCAUACAUAAUAAUACAUAUCAAUCAUCUACUGAGAUAUUAUGAAUAAAAGUAAAUAGAUUCUGAUAUACACCACAAUAUUUACUAGGGAUGUGUUACCGCUUUGUGCAGGCUACAUGUAGUUUGUAUAUGUUCCAGAAAGUUAAAAUAAGACACACAUGUAAGGUAUCAACUGCUGUGUUAUAUUGUGUGUGUCCAUCUCCACGGAACACAUGUGUUUUGGGCAGUUCUGCUUCUAGGUGACCUAACACCUCUAUGCACAUGGAACUAAAUUAAUCAAAAGGUGAAAAGAACAAAAUGGAAUUAUUUGAGCAAUGAUACACUGGAUUAAAAACAGUUACUAUUAUUUGUAACAAAACAAAAUGUUAGGUGGCUGAUAAUGAAGGUGGCUGAUUAAGUGAUAAUGAAGCGAACUGUUGUAUCUUUUUAUUAAAAUGACCCGAAAUUCCUACAAGGAAGCAAGGAAGGAUCACCUUUAGGGCUCCCGCGGAAGAUCCCCGGUGGGCCGACGGUCACAUGGCGCAUGUUUUGUUUGGUCCCAUUUAUAGUCAUAAUGAAUAAGUGCAAAAUAAUUUGCAUAUAUGAAAAUUACUUUGCCACUUAGCCUGUGCUAGGCAUAUGAUUGGAGUAAUAUGCGAAAAAAUAUAUUUUUCUAAAAAAUUAUAUAGCGUCCCUAAUUCUAAAAGUGUAUAAUAUAAUGUGCCCCUAAUGUUUAAUUUUAUUUCCUUUUAACUACCCAUUGAUGCUAGACAUGCCCACUCUCUGGCAAGUCUUGAGGGAUGGUGUGGAGGUGCUGUUGCCAUGGCCAUUCCUGCCACCACACCUUACACCCCUGGUGCUGCCCAUGUGAGGCCACCUCUAGAAUUUUUUUUCCGGGCCACUUUUAGUUCCCUGCAAGGAAGCAAUAGUAUAUCUCAUAAAAUAGAUUGGUGCCAACCAUCUCUGAGGAGAUAAGCAGUCUGCCAAUGUCCAGCCAUUUAAGCAUUACAGUAACGUUAU